rnacentral:rRNA from 1 species
AGCGCACCCCUAUCCUUAUUUGCCAGCGCAUAAUGGCGGGAACUAUAAGGAGACUGCCGGUCAUAAACCGGAGGAAGGCGGGGACGACGUCAAGUCAUCAUGGCCCUUAUGGGUAGGGCUACACACGUGAUACAAUGGGUGGUACAGAGGGUCGCCAAAGCGCGAGCUGGAGCCAAACCCUUAAAACCAUUCUUAGUCCGGAUUGGAGUCUGCAACUCGACUCCAUGAAGUCGGAAUCGCUAGUAAUCGCGAAUCAGAAUGUCGCGGUGAAUACGUUCUCGGGCCUUGUACACACCGCCCGUCACGUCAUGGAAGUGGGUUGCACCAGAAGUGGCUUGUUUAACCUUCGGGAAAACGGUCACCACGGUGUGAUUCACAACUGGGACGAAGUCGUAACAAGGUAGCCCUAGGGGGACCUGGGGCUGGAUCA